UACGGAGGGGGGCUAGCGUUGUUCGGAAUUACUGGGCGUAAAGCGCGCGUAGGCGGCUUUUGUAAGUUAGAGGUGAAAGCCCGGAGCUCAACUCCGGAAUUGCCUUUAAGACUGCAUCGCUAGAAUCAUGGAGAGGUGAGUGGAAUUCCGAGUGUAGAGGUGAAAAUUCGUAGAUAUUCGGAAGAACACCAGUGGCGAAGGCGACUCACUGGACAUGUAUUGACGCUGAGGUGCGAAAGCGUGGGGAGCAAACAGG
rnacentral:rRNA from 1 species